UUUCCGGUGGAUCCUGCCAGAGGUCACUGCUAUUGGGAUUCGACUAAGCCAUGCGAGUUGUGAGGGUUCGGCCCUCAGCUGACGGCUCAGUAACACGUAGAUAAUUUGCCCUUAGGUGGAGGAUACCCUCGGGAAACUGAGAAUAAUACUCCAUAGAUCUAGUCUGCUGGAAUGCUUUUAGAUCGAAAGAUUUAUCGCCUAAGGAUAAGUCUGCGGACUAUCAGGUUGUAGUCAGGGUAAAGACCUGACUAGCCUACGACGGAUACGGGUAGUGAGAGCUUUAGCCCGGAGAUGAUAUCUGAGACACGAUAUCAGGCCCUACGGGGCGCAGCAGGCGCGAAAACUUUGCACUGUGCGAAAGCACGACAAGGGAAUCCCAAGUGCUGGCUCGUAAGAGUCAGCUGUUUUUCUGUCUAAAACGCGGAGAGAGUAAGGGCUGGGUAAGACGGGUGCCAGCCGCCGCGGUAAUACCUGCAGCCCAAGUGGUGGCCGCUAUUAUUGGGCCUAAAACGUCCGUAGCCGGUUCUAUAAAUGCCUGGGUAAAUCGUACGGCUUAACCGUACGAAUUCCGGGUAGACUGUUCAACUUGGGACCGGGAGAGGCUAGAGGUACUCCUGGGGUAGAGGUGAAAUUCUGUAAUCCUAGGGGGACCACCAGUGGCGAAGGCGUCUAGCUAGAACGGGUCUGACGGUGAGGGACGAAGCCCUGGGGCGCAAACGGGAUUAGAUACCCCGGUAGUCCAGGGUGUAAACGCUGCUUGCUUGAUGUUAGUCGGGCUCCGAGCCCAACUAGUGUCGGAGAGAAGUUGUUAAGCAAGCUGCCUGGGGAGUACGGCCGCAAGACUGAAACUUAAAGGAAUUGGCGGGGGAGCACCGCAACGGGUGGAGCGUGCGGUUUAAUUGGAUUCAACCCCGGG
rnacentral:rRNA from 1 species